UGAAGAGUGACGUAAUUGAAAUGAUUUUGUAGGGUAGGGUUUCGAAGUCAUAUUCGAUACAACAUACCUUUUGACAUUUGUUAAUUUAUUGGAGCCGUGUCGAACUUAAGUUUGACUUAACAAUGAUGACUCUAUUCAGAUUAGACAAAUGUACUCAUCUUUAUAUCUCUAGUCGAUGCAAGUAUUUUGUUCGACUUAUUAGCCCACUUUCUACAACGAAAUUCAGAUGAUAGUGCUAGAAGACAUGAUCGGAGAUCAAACACUAAGUUAUUUUGCACAAUAUCAUGUUUAUUUCUUAUUGGCUUCAUGUGUUGGGCAACCAUUUUCUACCUGCCACCACCUCACAAGUCACACAUAAUGUUAUCGAACUUCAAACAUUUGAACAAAAUACCUAACCAAAUUCAA
rnacentral:lncRNA from 1 species